GAUACCCUAUUAUUUUAAAUGUAAAUUUUUUCCUUGAUUAUUAUUAGUUAUGGUCUUUAAAAUUAAAAAAUUUGGCGGUAUUUUAGUCUGUUCAGAGGAACCUGUUUUUUAAUCGAUGGUCCACGAUAAUUUUUACUUUAGUUUUAAAUUUAUAUAUCGUCGUUUGUAAAAAUUUUAGUAGAAUAAUAAUUUUUUUGAUUUUUUAUUAAAGAUUAUUUCAGAUCAAGGUGUAGUUUAUAUUAAAGAUUGAAUGGGUUACAUUAAAUUUAUUUUUAGUUUCAAUAUUUAAAAUUUUGGAUAAAUUGGAUUUGAUAGUAAAUUUUUUAUUUAUGAUUUUUGAUUUAGCUCUAAAAUAUGCACACAUCGCC
rnacentral:rRNA from 1 species